AUGGCGGAGGGAGGUGGAUCGCAAAGGAAGGGAAAGGAGAUCGAGGAUGUAGAAGCCCUGCUUAAUCGUCUUGAGUUACAUGAAGAUGAUGGGGAUGAUUUCAUCUGGGAGGAGGAGGUUGUUGAACAGGAGAUCCAGGCGAAGUGGCUUGCUAUCGUGCGAGUCCAUACCAACAAGGGGUUUUCCCCUUCGGCUCUAUACGGGGAUAUGAGAUCCGCUUGGAAUCCCGCGAAAGCUGUUCGCUGGCGCAUGAUCGAACAGAAUCUAUUCACCGUCCAAUUUGGAUGUUUGGGGGAUUGG
rnacentral:rRNA from 1 species